UACGUAGGGUGCAAGCGUUGUCCGGAAUUAUUGGGCGUAAAGAGCUCGUAGGCGGUUUGUUGCGUCGGCUGUGAAAUCCCGAGGCUCAACCUCGGGUCUGCAGUCGAUACGAGCAAACUAGAGUGUUGCAGGGGAGACUGGAAUUCCUGGUGUAGCGGUGAAAUGCGCAGAGUAUCAGGAGGAACACCGGUGGGCGAAGGCGGGUCUCUGGGCAACAACUGACGCUGGAGGAGCGAAAGCCGUGGGGAGCGAAACAGG
rnacentral:rRNA from 1 species